GAAGGCUGGUGGGAGGAGGGGCAGUCUCCAAGAGCCCCUGAAAUCCUCACACCUGGGUUCCUACCUGCUGUUUCCAGCUAGGGGAAGGCGCAGGAGUGAGGAAUGGAGGGAGUGGAGGGCUCUGGCCGAUCAAUGCCUUCUCUCUCUCUCUGCCUCUCAGAUUGACGGCGUGGAGGACAUGCUUCUUGAGCUGCUGCCAGAUGACUGAUGUCUUGCAGCACCUGUCUCCUUUCACCCCAGGGCCUGAGCCUGGCCAGCCUACAAUGGGGAUGUUGUGUUUCUGUUCACCUUCGUUUACUACGUCUGUGUCUUCUCCUCCAUCACGCUGGGGUCUUGGAGGAAUGGACAGACAGAGGAUGAGCUCUACCCA
rnacentral:sRNA from 1 species